rnacentral:piRNA from 1 species
AUUGUAAUAGGAUGGUGUAAU